rnacentral:rRNA from 1 species
CCUACGGGAGGCAGCAGUGGGGGAUAUUGCACAAUGGGGGGAACCCUGAUGCAGCGACGCCGCGUGGGUGAAGGAGUGCUUCGGCAUGUAAAGCCCUAUCGGCAGGGAAGAAGCAAGACGGUACCUGACUAAGAAGCCCCGGCUAACUACGUGCCAGCAGCCGCGGUAAUACGUAGGGGGGGAGCGUUAUCCGGAUUCACUGGGUGUAAAGGGAGCGUAGGAGGCUAUGCAAGCCAGGGGUGAAAGCCCGGGGCCCAACCCCGGGACUGCCCUUGGAACUGUGCGGCUAGAGUGCGGGAGGGGCAGGCGGAAUUCCUGGUGUAGCGGUGAAAUGCGUAGAUAUCAGGAGGAACACCGGCGGCGAAGGCAGCCUGCUGGACCGCGACUGACGUUGAGGCUCGAAAGCGUGGGGAGCGAACAGGAUUAGAUACCCCUGUAGUC